rnacentral:lncRNA from 1 species
CCCGCCGAUCAUUUGGUAUUUCCAUUUUUCAGAAAGUAUCGUAAAACAAGACAUCGAUAGAGCUUCCAUUAUCGAUUAGGACACGGCAUAUAUCAUAAUUUACAAUAUUUAAGUUAUAACAAUUGCAUCAUUGUGUGGGAACUAAAUUCCCUAGGCAUUCUUCUUAGUGAAGGUUAUCAACUCCCCAGUCCUCUACCUUUUCGCUGCCUCCUUGUCCCUAUCGAGUCCUCCAUCUCGAUGCCCCCCAGUAAUGGCAUUAAUUAUGCCGGCUGGGGGUUGGUCUUCCUACGGCCCUACAUGUCA